rnacentral:rRNA from 1 species
AUUGCCCUAGUAACGGCGAGUGAAGCGGCAACAGCUCAAAUUUGAAAUCUGGCCCCCCCACGGGGGUCCGAGUUGUAAUUUGCAGAGGGUGCUUUGGCGUUGGCUGUGGUCUAAGUUCCUUGGAACAGGACGUCGCAGAGGGUGAGAAUCCCGUAUGUGGCCGCCAGUCUUCGCCGUGUAAAGCCCCUUCGACGAGUCGAGUUGUUUGGGAAUGCAGCUCUAAAUGGGAGGUAAAUUUCUUCUAAAGCUAAAUAUCUGCCAGAGACCGAUAGCGCACAAGUAGAGUGAUCGAAAGAUGAAAAGCACUUUGGAAAGAGAGUCAAAAAGCACGUGAAAUUGUUGAAAGGGAAGCGCUUGCAGCCAGACUUGCCUGUAGUUGCUCAUCCGAGCUCUCGCUCGGUGCACUCUUCUAUAGGCAGGCCAGCAUCAGUCCGGGCGGUCGGAUAAAGGCCUCGGGAAUGUAGCUCCCCUCGGGGAGUGUUAUAGCCCGGGGUGCCAUGCGACCAGCCUGGACUGAGGUCCGCGCAUCUGCUAGGAUGCUGGCGUAAUGGCUGUAAGCGGCCCGUCUUGAAACACGGACCAAGGAGUCUAACAUCUAUGCGAGUGUUUGGGUGUCAAGCCCGGGCGCGCAAUGAAAGUGAACGGAGGUGGGAACCCCUCGGGGCGCACCAUCGACCGAUCCUGAUGUCUUCGGAUGGAUUUGAGUAAGAGCAUAGCUGUUGGGACCCGAAAGAUGGUGAACUAUGCCUGAAUAGGGUGAAGCCAGAGGAAACUCUGGUGGAGGCUCGCAGCGGUUCUGACGUGCAAAUCGAUCGUCAAAUUUGGGCAUAGGGGCGAAAGA